rnacentral:tRNA from 1 species
GGGGUGGUGGCUCAGUGGUAGAGCGCUUGCCUAGCACGCAUGAGGCACUGGAUUCCAUCCCU